GAAAGUAGUUAAGGGCGCAGGGCGGAUGCCUUGGCUCACGGAGGCGACGAAGGACGUGACAAGCUGCGACAAGCCGCGGGUAGGUGCAAGUGACCGUUGAUCCGCGGAUUUCCGAAUGGGACAACCCGCCCGUCUGAAGGACGGGCACUUCCGCCUUGUGCGGAAGGGCCAACCCGGGGAACUGAAACAUCUUAGUACCCGGAGGAAAAGAAAAUAAUCCAAUGAUUCCCCCAGUAGCGGCGAGCGACCGGGGAGGAGCCCAAACCCGGCGUGUGGCGACGCACGCCGGGGGUUGUAGGACCGCGGUGUUGCACGGCAAGGGCGAGGGGAAGCGGCUGGAAAGCCGCGCCGCAGGGGGUGAUAGCCCCGUACCCGAAGCCCGCGCCGGCAUAGCGGCAUCCUGAGUAGCGCGGGACACGAGGAAUCCUGCGCGAAUCCGCCGGGACCAUCCGGCAAGGCUGAAUACUCCCGUGAGACCGAUAGUGGACGAGUACUGUGAAGGAAAGGUGAAAAGCACUUCGACGAGAAGGGUGAAAGAGAUCCUGAAACCCUGCGCCUGCAAGCGGUCGGAGCUGCCCUUUUGGCAGUGACGGCGUGCCUUUUGCAUAAUGAACCUACGAGUUGCCGUCUCCGGCAAGGCUGAGGGGCUUUAGCCCCUGCGCCGCAGUGAAAGCGAGCCUGAAGAGGGCGUUUUUAGUCGGAGGUGGCAGACGCGAAACCAAGUGAUCUACACUUGGCCAGGGUGAAGUCCCGGUAACACGGGAUGGAGGCCCGCACCGAUAAGCGUUGAAAAGCUUCCGGAUGAGCCGAGUGUAGGAGUGAAAGGCCAAUCAAACUUGGAGAUAGCUCGUACUCCCCGAAAGGCAUUUAGGUGCCGCGUGCGCCGUUCCGCAUGAGAGGUAGAGCGACCGGUAGGUCGAGAGGGCUUCGCCGCCUGUCGAGACCUGACGAACUCCGAAUGCUCAUGCGCCGCAGGCGCGCAGUAAGGGGGCGGGUGCUAAGGUCCGUCCCCGAGAGGAGAAGAAUCCGGACCGCCGUCUAAGGUCCCCGAGUUCUGCCUGAGUUAGUCUAACGAAGUGCGGUCCCUGUGACAGCCAGGAUGUUGGCUUGGAAGCAGCCAUUCAUUCAAAGAGUGCGUAACAGCUCACUGGUCGAGGGUCCGUGCGUGGAUAAUAAUCGGGUAUAAGGCAGACACCGAAGACGCGGGGUAGCAUUGAAGAAAGUACCGGUAGGGGAGCAUGGCGUGCGGCGUCGAACGGAGGGGGCGACCCCUCCCGGAGCGCACGGCAAGGCAAAUGUAGGUAUAAGUAACGACAAGGAGGGUAAGAUCCCCUCCCGCCGUAAGACCAAGGUUUCCCGGGCAAUGCCAGUCAGCCCGGGGUCAGUCGGGCCCUAAGCCCCAGCCGUACGGCGAGGGGCGAUGGAAGACACGGUCAACAUUCCGUGACUGCCUCAGGGAGCGACGCGCUGACGGAGCAGUGACACCACCGCGGGGCGACGGAAGCCCCCGUUGACGGGCGUAGGCGUCGAGGGCCGCAGGCAAGUCCGCGGCCCGAGCCGAACCCCCAUAGUAUGGCCCCCCCUCCGGGGGGCGCCAAUAGCGUGGGUAAUCAUACUCCCGAGAAAAUGCGCUAAGCCUCAUCCCUGCGGCACCCGUACCCCAAACGGACACACGUGGUCGGGUAGAACAUACUCAGGCGUUGGAAGACUCACGGUUAAGGAACUAGGCAAACUGACCCUGUAACUUCGGGAUAAAGGGUCCUCGCGGCUCCGCGAGGCGCAGAGAAUAGGUCCAGGCAACUGUUUAACAAAAACACAGGGCUGUGCUAACUCGAAAGAUGAUGUAUACAGCCUGACACCUGCCCGGUGCCGGAAGGUUAAGAGGAGGGGUCAUCCGUACGGUGAAGCCCUGAAUUGAAGCCCCGGUAAACGGCGGCCGUAACUAUAACGGUCCUAAGGUAGCGAAAUUCCUUGUCGGGUAAGUUCCGACCUGCACGAAUGGUGUAAUGAUCCGGACGCUGUCUCAACCGUGAUUCCAGUGAAAUUGUAGUAUCGGUGAAGAUGCCGAUUACCCGCGAUGGGACGAAAAGACCCCGUGAACCUUUACUGCAGCUUAGCGCUGACCCCGGCCAUCCGAUGUGUAGGAUAGGCCGGAGGCUUUGAACCCGCGGCGCCAGCCGCGGCGGAGCCUUCCUUGAAAUACGGCCCUUCGGCUGUCUGGGGUCUAACCCGCGGUCUGCGGGGACACCGCUUGGCGGGCAGUUUGACUGGGGUGGUCGCCUCCAAAAGCGUAACGGAGGCUUCCAAAGGUGCCCUCGGGCCGUUCGGUAACCGGCCUUAUGGAGUGCAAUGGCAUAAGGGCGCCUGACUGGGAGGGGGACACCCCGAGCAGGCAGGAAACUGGGGCAUAGUGAUCCGGCGGACGUGCAUGGAAACUCCGUCGCUCAAAGGAUAAAAGGUACUCCGGGGAUAACAGGCUGAUCCCCCCCAAGAGCUCAUAUCGACGGGGUGGUUUGGCACCUCGAUGUCGGCUCGUCACAUCCUGGGGCUGGAGAAGGUCCCAAGGGUUGGGCUGUUCGCCCAUUAAAGUGGCACGCGAGCUGGGUUCAGAACGUCGUGAGACAGUUCGGUCUCUAUCUAUCGUGGGCGUUGGAGUUUUGCGCGGGUCUGACACUAGUACGAGAGGACCGUGUCGGACGGACCUCCGGUCUGCCGGUUGUGCCGCCAGGCGCACCGCCGGGUAGCCGCGUCCGGCCGGGAUAAGCGCUGAAGGCAUCUAAGCGCGAAGCCCUCCGCAAGAUGAGAACUCCUUGAUAUGAGGGCCGUCAGAGACGAUGACGUUGAUAGGGCGCAGGUGUAAAGGCGGCGACGCCAAAGCCGAGCGCUACUAAUUGCCCGAAGCUUUCCCCGU
rnacentral:rRNA from 1 species